GACGAACGCGGCGGCGUGCUAAUACAUGCAAGUGGGACGCAAGGAAACACACUGUGCUUGCACACCGUGUUUUCUUGAGUCGCGAACGGGUGAGUAACGCGUAGGUAACCUGCCUAUUAGCGGGGGAUAACUAUUGGAAACGAUAGCUAAUACCGCAUAAUAUUAAUUAUUGCAUGAUAAUUGAUUGAAAGAUGCAAGCGCAUCACUAGUAGAUGGACCUGCGUUGUAUUAGCUAGUUGGUAAGGUAAGAGCUUACCAAGGCGACGAUACAUAGCCGACCUGAGAGGGUGAUCGGCCACACUGGGACUGAGACACGGCCCAGACUCCUACGGGAGGCAGCAGUAGGGAAUCUUCGGCAAUGGACGAAAGUCUGACCGAGCAACGCCGCGUGAGUGAAGAAGGUUUUCGGAUCGUAAAGCUCUGUUGUAAGUCAAGAACGUGUGUGAGAGUGGAAAGUUCACACAGUGACGGAGCUACCAG
rnacentral:rRNA from 1 species